rnacentral:rRNA from 1 species
GACGGAGGGUGCAAACGUUGUUCGGAAUCACUGGGCAUAAAGAGCACGUAGGCUGCGCGCUAAGUCAGGUGUGAAAUCCCCCGGCUCAACCGGGGAACUGCACCUGAUACUGGCGUGCUCGAGGACGGUAGGGGUGAGUGGAACUCCAGGUGGAGCGGUGAAAUGCGUAGAUAUCUGGAGGAACACCGAUGGCGAAGGCAGGUCUCUGGGCAUUAACUGACGCUGAGGAGCGAAAGCACGGGGAGCGAACAGG